rnacentral:tRNA from 1 species
CAAUUUGUAGCUUAAGAGACAAAACCUUAAUUUUUUAAAUUAAUGAUAAUAAUAAUUCAAAUUGA